rnacentral:lncRNA from 1 species
AAAAGGGAUGUGAAAAUUAUAAAAAAAAAUUUGAAAAGGUUCUAAGGAAGAAAACAAGAAAUUUUUAGUGGCAAAAGUUGCUACAAUGGUGGUGAGAUUUUCAGCAAGUGUUGCUUGAGUGCCCUAAGAUUUGAUUUUUCUAUAUGUUGGAGCCAAAAAUUAAAUAUUAAGUUAUAUAAAAUCUUAAGAGUUCUUCUUGGUGUCAUUCUGAUGGUG